rnacentral:rRNA from 1 species
UACUCCUACGGGAGGCAGCAGUGGGGAAUCUUGCGCAAUGGGCGAAAGCCUGACGCAGCAACGCCGCGUGCGGGAUGAAGGCUCUCGGGUCGUAAACCGCUUUCNNNAGGGAUGAAAAUGACAGUACCUGCAGAAGAAGCCCCGGCUAAAUACGUGCCAGCAGCCGCGGUAAUA